UGGCUCAGGAUGAACGCUGGCGGUAUGCUUAACACAUGCAAGUCGAACGGUCUCUUCGGAGAUAGUGGCGGACGGGUGAGUAACGCGUGAGAAUCUGGCUCCAGGUCGGGGACAACAGCUCGAAAGGGCUGCUAAUACCGGAUGUGCCGAGAGGUGAAAGAUUUAUUGCCUGGAGAUGAGCUCGCGUCAGAUUAGCUAGUUGGUAAGGUAAGAGCUUACCAAGGCGACGAUCUGUAACUGGUCUGAGAGGAUGACCAGUCACACUGGGACUGAGACACGGCCCAGACUCCUACGGGAGGCAGCAGUGGGGAAUUUUCCGCAAUGGGCGAAAGCCUGACGGAGCAAUACCGCGUGGGGGAGGAAGGUUUUUGGAUUGUAAACCCCUUUUCUCAGGGAAGAUGAUGACGGUACCUGAGGAAUCAGCCUCGGCUAACUCCGUGCCAGCAGCCGCGGUAAGACGGAGGAGGCAAGCGUUAUCCGGAAUUAUUGGGCGUAAAGGGUCCGCAGGUGGUUAGACAAGUCUGUCGUUAAAGAGUGGGGCUUAACCCUAUAGAGGCGAUGGAAACUGUUUAACUUGAGCGUGGUAGGGGUAGAGGGAAUUCCCGGUGUAGCGGUGAAAUGCGUAGAUAUCGGGAAGAACACCAGAGGCGAAAGCGCUCUACUGGGCCAUGACUGACACUGAGGGACGAAAGCUAGGGGAGCGAAAGGGAUUAGAUACCCCUGUAGUCCUAGCCGUAAACGAUGGUAACUAGGUGUUGCAUGUAUCGACCCGUGCAGUGCCGAAGCUAACGCGUUAAGUUACCCGCCUGGGGAGUACGCACGCAAGUGUGAAACUCAAAGGAAUUGACGGGGGCCCGCACAAGCGGUGGAGUAUGUGGUUUAAUUCGAUGCAACGCGAAGAACCUUACCAGGACUUGACAUGUGCAGAACCCUGCUGAAAGGUGGGGGUGCCUUCGGGAACUGCAACACAGGUGGUGCAUGGCUGUCGUCAGCUCGUGUCGUGAGAUGUUGGGUUAAGUCCCGCAACGAGCGCAACCCACGUUUUUAGUUGCCAGCAUUAAGUUGGGCACUCUAGAGAGACUGCCGGUGACAAACCGGAGGAAGGUGUGGAUGACGUCAAGUCAGCAUGCCCCUUACGUUCUGGGCUACACACGUACUACAAUGCUUCGGACAGAGGGCUGCGAGCUCGCGAGAGUCAGCUAAUCCCAUAAACCGAGGCACAGUUCAGAUUGCAGGCUGCAACUCGCCUGCAUGAAGGCGGAAUCGCUAGUAAUCGCAGGUCAGCAUACUGCGGUGAAUACGUUCCCGGGCCUUGUACACACCGCCCGUCACACCAUGGGAGUUGGCCACGCCCGAAGUCGUUACUCCAACCUGCAAAGGAGGAGGACGCCGAAGGCAGGGCUGAUGACUGGGGUGAAGUCGUAACAAGGUAGCCGUACCGGAAGGUGUGGCUGGAUCACCUCCUUUUAGGGAGACCUACCCCAUCGAUAACCGAAACAAUCAGGAAUAGGUUGAGAUGUGGUCAUCCCAAGGUCGUUCGAGAUUAGUACGAUUGGCUUUCAAACUGCUCCAGGUUUCUCAUAACCCGAACAUUGCCUGUUCGAUUAUGACUCACACUAACUAAAUGACACGAGUUAGAUUGGUAAGAGUGGCAUUAGCCGAUUAAUGAGUAAUUAAUCAGCUAAUUGAUACAAACAAUGAAACCAAUUCUUAGCGAUUGACUUUUAAUGAAUUUGGAUAGUAUUCAGCAACUUGUUUAGUACUUUUUAUUGACAGUAUUUUUUACUGACUCAGUAAUAGGCUAAAGAGCCUGCUGGAUUUUAAUCCAGUGAGAACCUUGAAAAUUGCAUAGUAACUUGUCAGGUAGAAAGUGUUGUAGGUCAUUUGCAAUCAUUUGCAAAAUGGUUUGCAACAACUUUACAGACACCAAUGAAAACAAGCCAAUAAAAGGAACGAGUUAGGAAUAGCUCGUUGACAAGUUAGGAAUAACUUGUGAGAAGAAAAAACUAGUGGUCAAGCUAGUAAGGGCUCAUGGUGGAUACCUAGGCACACAGAGGCGAAGAAGGACGUGGUUACCGACGAUAUGCUCCGGGGAGUUGGAAGCGAGCUUUGAUCCGGAGAUUUCCGAAUGGGGCAACCCAGAUACUUUGUACUGAAUCAAUAGGUGCAAAGAGCGAACGCGGCGAAUUGAAACAUCUUAGUAGCCGUAGGAAGAGAAAACAAACGUGAUUCCCUGAGUAGCGGCGAGCGAACGGGGAAGAGCCUAAACCAGAUUGCUUGCAGUCUGGGGUUGUGGGACAGCGACAUGGAAUCCGUAGAUUAGACGAAGCAUUUGAAAGAUGCACCAGAGAAGGUGAAAGUCCUGUAGUCGAAAGUUGAAGGAUACUAGCUGGAUCCCGAGUAGCACGGGGCACGUGGAAUCCCGUGUGAAUCCGCGAGAACCAUCUCGUAAGGCUAAAUACUCCUGUGUGACCGAUAGUGAACCAGUACCGCGAGGGAACGGUGAAAAGAACCCCGGGAGGGGAG
rnacentral:rRNA from 5 species